GUGCUUGCUCUGGUAGCACAUAUUCUAAAAUUGGGAAGAUACAGAGAUUAUUAGCAUGGCCUCUGCGCAAGGAUGACAUGAAAAUUAGGGACUGAUCACUCCAACAC